AUUGAACGCUGGCGGCAUGCCUUACACAUGCAAGUCGGACGGCAGCGCGGGAGCAAUCCUGGCGGCGAGUGGCGAACGGGUGAGUAAUACAUCGGAACAUGUCCAGUAGUGGGGGAUAGCCCGGCGAAAGCCGGAUUAAUACCGCAUACGAUCUAUGGAUGAAAGCGGGGGAUCGCAAGACCUCGCGCUAUUGGGGUGGCCGAUGGCGGAUUAGCUAGUUGGUGGGGUAAAGGCCUACCAAGGCGAUGAUCCGUAGCUGGUCUGAGAGGACGACCAGCCACACUGGGACUGAGACGCGGCCCAGACUCCUACGGGAGGCAGCAGUGGGGAAUUUUGGACAAUGGGGGCAACCCUGAUCCAGCAAUGCCGCGUGUGUGAAGAAGGCCUUCGGGUUGUAAAGCACUUUUGUCCGGGAAGAAAUCCCCUGCCCUAAUACGGCGGGGGGAUGACGUACC
rnacentral:rRNA from 1 species